AGAGUUUGAUUCUGGCUCAGAUUGAACGCUGGCGGCAUGCCUUACACAUGCAAGUCGAACGGCAGCACGGGNGCAAUCCUGGUGGCGAGUGGCGNACGGGUGAGUAAUAUAUCGGAACGUGCCCAGUCGUGGGGGAUAACGUAGCGAAACGUACGCUAAUACCGCAUACGAUCUACGGAUGAAAGCGGGGGAUCGCAAGACCUCGCGCGAUUGGAGCGGCCGAUAUCAGAUUAGCUAGUUGGUGGGGUAAAAGCUCACCAAGGCNACGAUCUGUAGCUG
rnacentral:rRNA from 1 species